rnacentral:rRNA from 1 species
UACAGAGGGGGCUAGCGUUGUUCGGAAUUACUGGGCGUAAAGCGCGCGUAGGCGGCCCGGUAAGUCCGCUGUAAAAGUCCAGGGCUCAACCCUGGAACGCCGGUGGAUACUGUCGGGCUAGAGUCCGGAAGAGGCGAGUGGAAUUCCUGGUGUAGCGGUGAAAUGCGCAGAUAUCAGGAAGAACACCCGUGGCUAAGGCGGCUCUCUAGUACGGUACUGACGCUGAGACGCGAAAGCGUGGGGAGCGAACAGG